CUGCAGAGAGUGAUCCAGCUACGGCCCACUCAGCAGUGAAAACAGAAGACAUCAUUUAUGGACAAAUAAUCAUCAAAAAGAAGCAAAACAAAUUCAAUAUAAGAGAGAGUGAUCCAGCUGCAGUCUACUCAGGAGUGAGAACAGAAGCCAUCAGUUAUGGAGAAAUAACCAUCACACCAAAGAGGACCAGAGACUUUAAACCAGAGCCAGACGUCGUCUACUCUUCACUGAAGUAGUCCACCAGUCCAACCACUGACGUCCAGCUGCUGGUCUCUAACUGGUCCCCCCAGCAAAUCAGACCAGAGGACAUCCACAUGAUACAAAGAAGUAUUUGCAUUAUGUAUUUUAAUUUUUUUUUUCUCGAUUAUGUACCCUCAUGUGAUUGAAAAAAAA